rnacentral:lncRNA from 1 species
GGCAGUCCCAGAGCGGUGGGGUUAGCAGGAGCAAGGCUGGCCAAACUUCGGGGAAUUCGGGUGAGGCGAGAGGGGAGGAAGUUUGGGGGCCCCCUGAAGGCUGGCGGUUUGGGGUUCCCCAGGGGAACACUGAUCCUCUGGCGCCGAGCUCGCACCGGAGAGGUCAGGCCAGUUGCUGGGAGAAGGGAUAGGGGCCCUGCCCGGUCCCACCCGCGCCGGGCUAAAAUCGGGCGGGGCCGACUGGAGAGGCAGGGACGCCGGUGGCCGGGCGGGGUCUGCGCCCUUCUCCCCGCCCGGCGGAGCGCGGCCUGCGAGGCUCGGGGCCAGGCCCGACAGGAGGGAACUCGGUCCCUGGGCUGGGCACUGUGCGCCUGCGGCUCCUGCCCUCCCGGCGGCUGCGGGCGCGCCGGCCCCCGCGCCCCCAGGGGCCGGGCCGGGGCGGGGGCUGGGCCCCGCGGGCGGGCGGGCGGGCGCGCGGGGGGUGGGGGGCGGCGGCGAAGGCUGCGCCGCUCUAACAGGUGGGAUCCCGCGGCGUGGUGGAGGCGGGCGCGGGAGGAAGAGGAGGAGGAGGAAGAGCAGCGGCAGCGGGAGCCCGAGCAGGAGCAGGAUGAGCCGCGCGAGCUGACAGCCGCCGCCGCCGCCGCCCGCGCCCGAGCUCGGUCUCACUCCCCGCGCCCGGGGCCGCUCCCCGCCUCCCGCCUCCCCCGGCCGCCCGCGGGGCGGCCCGCCCCCUCUGCACCUCCGGGCCCGGAGCUGCCUCCAUCGCUCCUGCAUCCCGGCCGGGGGGGAGGAGGAGGCGGAGCAGGAGGCGAGCCGGAGCCGCCGCCGCCAACGCCGCCGCCGCCGCCGCCGCCCGAGCAGGACAGAGCGCGCCGCAGCCCCGCGCGUCCGGCCGCCGCCCGUGCCCAUCAAGCCUCCGCGCCGGAGCCACACCGCGGGACAGCCGGGGCCGCGGCGCGCCCCGGCUCGGCUCGGCCCAGCCCAGCCCAGUCCCGGCACCGGGCGGCCCGGCGGCCGGCCCGCCCCCGA